rnacentral:rRNA from 1 species
CCUACGGGAGGCAGCAGUGAGGAAUAUUGGUCAAUGGCCGGAAGGCUGAACCAGCCAUGCCGCGUGAAGGUCAGUGCCCUAUGGGCGUUAAACUUCUUUUGUGCGGGAGCAAUAAUGGUCACGUGUGGCCAGACGAGAGUACCGUACGAAUAAGCAUCGGCUAACUACGUGCCAGCAGCCGCGGUAAUACGUAGGGAGCAAGCGUUGUUCGGAAUGACUGGGCGUAAAGGGUGCGUAGGCGGUUAUACAAGUUAGAAGUGAAAUACCCAGGGCUUAACUCGGGUGCUGCUUCUAAAACUGUAAGACGUGAGUGCAGUAGAGGUUAGUGGAAUUCCUAGUGUAGCGGUGGAAUGCGUAGAUAUUAGGAGGAACACCAGAGGCGAAGGCGGCUAACUGGACUGCAACUGACGCUGAGGCACGAAAGUGUGGGGAGCAAACAGGAUUAGAUACCCUUGUAGUC